CGGACGGGUGAGUAACGCGUGAGAAUCUGCCUUUAGGUCCGGGACAACCACUGGAAACGGUGGCUAAUACCGGAUGUGCCGCAACGUGAAAGGGGAAACCCGCCUGAAGAUGAGCUCGCGUCUGAUUAGCUAGUUGGUGAGGUAAAGGCUCACCAAGGCGACGAUCAGUAGCUGGUCUGAGAGGAUGACCAGCCACACUGGGACUGAGACACGGCCCAGACUCCUACGGGAGGCAGCAGUGGGGAAUUUUCCGCAAUGGGCGAAAGCCUGACGGAGCAAGACCGCGUGAGGGAAGAAGGCUCUUGGGUCGUAAACCUCUUUUGUCAGGGAAGAACACAAUGACGGUACCUGACGAAUAAGCCUCGGCUAACUCCGUGCCAGCAGCCGCGGUAAUACGGAGGAGGCAAGCGUUAUCCGGAAUUAUUGGGCGUAAAGCGUCCGUAGGUGGCUAGUCAAGUCUGCGGUCAAAGACUGGGGCUUAACCCUGGAAAGGCCGUGGAAACUGACGAGCUAGAGUGCAGUAGGGGUAGAGGGAAUUCCCGGUGUAGCGGUGAAAUGCGUAGAGCUCGGGAAGAACAUCGGUGGCGAAAGCGCUCUACUGGACUGCAACUGACACUCAGGGACGAAAGCUAGGGGAGCGAAUGGGAUUAGAUACCCCAGUAGUC
rnacentral:rRNA from 1 species